GACGAACGCUGGCGGCGCGCCUAACACAUGCAAGUCGAGCGAUGAAAUUUUAACCGAUCUCUUCGGAGAGAAGAUAAAAUGGAUUAGCGGCGGACGGGUGAGUAACACGUGAGAAACCUGCCUUUCACAAGGGGAUAGCCUCGGGAAACCGGGAUUAAUACCCUAUGACACAUUUCCUUCGCAUGGAAGAAAUGUUAAAACUCCGGUGGUGAAAGAUGGUCUCGCGCCUGAUUAGCUAGUUGGUGGGGUAACGGUCCACCAAGGCCAUGAUCAGUAACCGGCCUGAGAGGGUGAACGGUCACAUUGGAACUGAGACACGGUCCAAACUCCUACGGGAGGCAGCAGUGGGGAAUAUUGCACAAUGGAGGAAACUCUGAUGCAGCGACGCCGCGUGAGCGAUGAAGGCUUUCGAGUCGUAAAGCUCUGUCCUAUGGGAAGAUAAUGACGGUACCAUAGGAGGAAGCCCCGGCUAACUACGUG
rnacentral:rRNA from 1 species